GUAGAACCAUUAUUUGGGGGGCUUGGCUUCCGGAAAACUCAAACCACGUCACAUUAGAAAAGGUCAGGAGGCAUUUCCACAGGGAUGCAGACCUGACAUUUUUUCUCAUGUUCUCAACCUUUCAUCUGGAGCAGAGACCACCCCCUCCCUGCUGACCCAAUGCAUCCACCAGAGGCAUCCCUGGCCACCUAGUUCCCUGGACCAAGAUGAGGCCUUGCUAUGUCCCAGGCCCUGCUGGGAUCCCCCUCCACCUCCUGAUGCUGCUGAUAGCCACAAAGGGAAGCAGAGAAGUGAACCCCAGUGGCCACCACACUGCAAGCAUCAGGAAACAUUUACUGCCUAGAAGGAUGACCUCUGGACUCAGAAUCCAAAGGAUAAUGAAUGCAGACAGGGAGGAGCAAUAAAUCAUUUAUGAAUUGCCGACAGAACCUUUUAUGCUUGAAGGAAACAUGGCUGUGUGUGAUUCAGGGAAAGCUGAACUUGGCAUCUUCUCCUAAACCCACUCUGAUGUGUUCAACGUCGCCUCCUUCGUUGCUCAGAUGGGAAAACCAGGGAUCACACGUUGAGAACCACGGUCUCAGUGCAAUUUAACCCAGCUUUCCUGUGCUAACAUCACCUAAGGAAGGCAGGAACCAGAAGUAAAAAAUGCGAUUAUUAAAUUCAUUCAUUCAAUAAAUAUUUUUUGAUACCUACUAAAAACA
ensembl:lncRNA